CUGGGCGCGGCCGGCGCUGCGGACCCGCUGCUGCUGUCCGGGUCUGUGCGGUCCCGAGGGCCCUCCGUGCCGCCGGCGCCAUGGGCAAUUGCCACACGGUGGGGCCCAACGAGGCGCUGGUGGUUUCAGGGGGCUGUUGUGGUUCCGACUAUAAACAGUACGUGUUUGGAGGCUGGGCCUGGGCCUGGUGGUGUAUCUCCGACACUCAGAGGUGAAGAUCAUGACGGAGAAGGAACUCCUGGCCGUGGCUUGUGAGCAGUUUCUGGGUAAGAAUGUGCAGGACAUCAAAAACGUCGUCCUGCAGACCCUGGAGGGACAUCUGCGCUCCAUCCUCGGUGAGGCCCUGUUCAGCCUUUGAGGAGCCUCAUGGGGCCCCUAAGCCAAGGCAGGGAGGGGUGCAGGGCUGGGCAGGGGGCCUGUUUCACAGGAGUUUCAAGCUAAAACGUUUUUCCUCAAAUAUUUAAUUUCAAAACUUCAGGUGACUUGAGUGAAGGAGAGGGCAUGAGUGAAGGGGUGGGAUGGGGGCUGUCGGUCUGCUCAGGAACCUAGUGCUGCUUGGGACACUUCCUCGUUCAGCCUGGACUGUGCAGCAGGAAGCUCAGUGUUAAGUGCUGUUGAGAAGAUACCCCAGGAAGACCCAGCUCAGAGUGCAGCACCCCGCAUGCACCCCGACCUCUACAUGCAUGCCUCCUCCCUUCCCC
rnacentral:sRNA from 1 species